AACGAUAAUAAAAUGUACCUAAUAAGAAAACCCAUUUACAAGUAUCUACUAUGUGUCUCAUUUAGUCCACUUCGAAAAGGGGCAAAUGUAGGUAGGUAUGUGGUAGGUGUAGGUAGGUACUGCAACUGUUAUCUGAGUGAGAAAGGUCGGGAUGAAUAUUAUUAUUAUAACUGCAGCUCGUCACAGUACCAUACGCAUUGCAAUAUCGAGUUAAAAAAAUGAAAUAUAUUGUGAUUAUGUUUUUGUUUAUUAUCUCUGUUUUAAAUAUUAGUAUUGCAGAAAAAUGCACAGGCUCCGAAUAUAAUCCCGGCCCGCACUGCGGCUUGGAGCCAACGUGCGCCACACGGAGCUCACAUGUGUACCCCAAACACACCUGCGACUGUUGGUGCAAGCCUGGCACUUAUAGGAAGGUGGAGAGUAAUACUUGUGUUGAGUUAAAUGAUUGUUGAUUAAAAAUUAUGUUAUGUACCUA